GGUUCGAUCAUGGCUCAGAUUGAACGCUGGCGGGAGUGCUUUACAUGCAAGCGUCAGAACGGCAGCACGGACUGGUCUGGCGAGUGGCGAACGGUGAUAAUAUAUCAUCGGAACGCCUAGUAUGGGGAUAACUACGCGAAAGCGUAGCUAAUACCGCAUACGCCCUUCGGGGGAAAGCGGGGACCUUCGGGCCUCGCACUAUUAGAGCGGCCGAUAUCGGAUUAGCUAGUUGGUGGGGUAACGCCCACCAAGGCGACGAUCCGUAGCUGGUUUGAGAGGAUCAAGACCAGCCACACCGGGACUGAGACACGGCCCAGACUUACGGGAGGCAGCAGGAAUUUUGGGAUAAUGGGGAAACCCUGAUCCUGCCAUCCCGCGUGUGCGAUGAAGGCCUUCGGGUUGUAAAGCACUUUUGGCAGAGAACGGCACGGAUAAUACCCCGCAACUGACGGUACCUGCAGAAAUGCUGUCCGGCCAACUACGCCAGCAGCCGCGGUAACACGUAGGGGUGUUAAGCACCGGAAUUACUGGGUAAAAGCGUAUGCAGGCGGUUCGGAAAGAAAGAUGUGAAAUCCCAGAGCUUAACUUUGGAACUGCAUUUUUAACUACCGAGCUAGAGUGUGUCAGAGGGAGGUGGAAUUCAUGUGGCAGCAAAUGCGUAGAUAUGCGGAGGAACACCGAUGGCGAAGGCAGCUCUGGGAUAACACUGACGCUCAUGCACGAAAGCGUGGGGAGCAAACAGAUUAGAUACCCUGGUAGUCCACGCCCUAAACGAUGUCAACUAGCUGUUGGGGCCUUCGGGCCUUGGUAGCGCAGCUAACGGGUGUGAAGUUGACCGCCUGGGGAGUACGGUCGCAAGAUUUAAAACCUAAAGGAAUUGAUUUGGGACCCGCACAAGCGGUGGAUGAUGUGGAUUAAUUGAUGCAACGCGAAAACCUUACCUACCCUUGACAUGUCUGGAAUCCCGAAGAGAUUUGGGAGUGCUCGCAAGAGAACCGGAACACAGGUGCUGCAUGGCUGUCGUCAGCUCGUGUCGUGAGAUGGGUUAAAACCUGCAACGAGCGCAACCUUAGUUGCUACGAAAGGGGCACUUUAAUGAGACUGCCAGACAAACCGGAGGUGUGGAUGACGUCAAGUCCUCAGCGGUCUUUAUGGGUAGGGCUUCACACGUCAUACAAUGGUCGGGACAGAGGGUCGCCAACCCGCGAGGGGGAGCCAAUCCCAGAAACCCGAUCGUAGUCCGGAUCGCAGUCUGCAACUCGACUGCGGAAGUCGAACUGCUAGUAAUCGCGGAUCAGCAUGUCGCGGUGAAUACGUUCCCGGUCUUGUACACACCGCCCGUCACACCAUGGGAGUGGGUUUUACCAGAAGUAUUGGGGCCUAACCGUGGAGGGCGAUUACCAUGUAGGAUUCAUGACUGGGUGUAGUCGUAACAAGGU
rnacentral:rRNA from 1 species